GGCGGCAUGGCCGAGUGGUUAGGCAACGGUCUGCAAAACCGUGUACUCCAGUUCGAUCCUGGAUGCCGCCU
rnacentral:tRNA from 1 species